UGUGAAACUGCGAACGGCUCAUUAAAUCAGUUAUCGUUUAUUUGAUAGUACCUUACUACAUGGAUAACCGUGGUAAUUCUAGAGCUAAUACAUGCUGAAGGCCCCGACUUCGGGAGGGGUGUGUUUAUUAGAUAAAAGGCCAACGCCCUUCGGGGCUCCUUGGUGAUUCAUGAUAACCUGACGGAUCGCAUGGCCUUGCGCCGGCGAUGGUUCAUUCAAAUUUCUGCCCUAUCAACUUUCGAUGGUAGGAUCGAGGCCUACCAUGGUAUCAACGGGUAACGGGGAAUUAGGGUUCGAUUCCGGAGAACGAGCCUGAGAAACGGCUAUUACAUCCAAGGAAGGCAGCAGGCGCGCAAAUUACCCAAUCCCGACACGGGGAGGUAGUGACAAUAAAUACUGAUACAGGGCUCUUUUGGGUCUUGUAAUUGGAAUGAGUACAAUUUAAACCCCUUAACGAGGAACAAUUGGAGGGCAAGUCUGGUGCCAGCAGCCGCGGUAAUUCCAGCUCCAAUAGCGUAUAUUAAAGUUGUUGCAGUUAAAAAGCUCGUAGUUGAACCUUGGGCCUGGCUGGCCGGUCCGCCUCACCGCGUGCACUGGUUCGGCCGGGCCUUUCCUUCUGGGGAGCCGCAUGCCCUUCAUUGGGCGUGUCGGGGAGCCAGGACGUUUACUUUGAAAAAAUUAGAGUGUUCAAAGCAGGCCCUUUGCUCGAAUACAUUAGCAUGGAAUAAUGGAAUAGGACGGCGGUCCUAUUUUGUUGGUUUCUAGAAACCGCCGUAAUGAUUAAUAGGGGAC
rnacentral:rRNA from 1 species